UCGUAACAAGGUUUCCGUAGGUGAACCUGCGGAAGGAUCAUUACAAUUCAGUAGCUUGCUACUGUCAGGAGGUGCUGUAAGCCCGCAUAGUUUAAUUACUGAUGAGCGGCAGGCCCUCUGUCUGUACCCUUGUCUCUUGCGCACUCAUGUUUCCUCGGCGGGCUUGCCCGCCGAUUGGACAAAACUAUAACCUUUUUAAUUUUCAAUCAGCGUCUGAAAAAACUUAAUAAUUACAACUUUCAACAACGGAUCUCUUGGUUCUGGCAUCGAUGAAGAACGCAGCGAAAUGCGAUAAGUAGUGUGAAUUGCAGAAUUCAGUGAAUCAUCGAAUCUUUGAACGCACAUUGCGCCCCUUGGUAUUCCAUGGGGCAUGCCUGUUCGAGCGUCAUUUGUACCCUCAAGCUCUGCUUGGUGUUGGGUGUUUGUCCUCUCCUUUGCGUUUGGACUCGCCUUAAAAUAAUUGGCAGCCAGUGUUUUGGUAUUGAAGCGCAGCACAUUUUGCGAUUCUAGCCUAUAAUACUUGCGUCCAUAAGCCUAUUUUCAACUUUUGACCUCGGAUCAGGUAGGGAUACCCGCUGAACUUAAGCAUAUCAAA
rnacentral:rRNA from 1 species